ACAUCCAGCGAACUUGGCAGAGAUGCCUUGGUGCCUUCGGGGAACGCUGAGACAGGUGCUGCAUGGCUGUCGUCAGCUCGUGUUGUGAAAUGUUGGGUUAAGUCCCGNAACGAGCGCAACCCUUAUCCUUUGUUGCCAGCGAUUCGGUCGGGAACUCAAAGGAGACUGCCGGUGAUAAACCGGAGGAAGGUGGGGAUGACGUCAAGUCAUCAUGGCCCUUACGAGUAGGGCUACACACGUGCUACAAUGGCGCAUACAAAGAGAAGCGACCUCGCGAGAGCAAGCGGACCUCAUAAAGUGCGUCGUAGUCCGGAUCGGAGUCUGCAACUCGACUCCGUGAAGUCGGAAUCGCUAGUAAUCGUGGAUCAGAAUGCCACGGUGAAUACGUUCCCGGGCCUUGUACACACCGCCCGUCACACCAUGGGAGUGGGUUGCAAAAGAAGUAGGUAGCUUAACCUUCGGGAGGGCGCUUACCACUUUGUGAUUCAUGACUGGGGUGAAGUCGUAACAAGGUAGGCGUAGCGAG
rnacentral:rRNA from 1 species